rnacentral:lncRNA from 1 species
AUGCAGAAUCUAGAACAAUACAUGAAUCUAGGAUAUGCUGCCUUCCCCACGCUUGCCUCUCUGGUUCUACAGCAGCAGCCUAUCUUCUGUCUGCUUGGUUUAGGAAGCUCCUUCUUCAGGGUUUCUGAAUUGCUGGCCUUUUGGUGACGUUUGGCGCAACAACCCUCUCUACCUAUAACCCACAUCGCUGACCUCAGAGCUCAAUGAACGUUUCAUUUACAUGCACAGUCAAAUUAAAUUUGCCCAGCC